rnacentral:rRNA from 1 species
GAUGAACGCUGGCGGCGUGCCUAAUACAUGCAAGUCGAGCGAACGGACGAGAAGCUUGCUUCUCUGAUGUUAGCAGCGGACGGGUGAGUAACACGUGGAUAACCUACCUAUAAGACUGGGAUAACUUCGGGAAACCGGAGCUAAUACCGGAUAAUAUUUUGAACCGCAUGGUUCAAAAGUGAAAGACGGUCUUGCUGUCACUUAUAGAUGGAUCCGCGCUGCAUUAGCUAGUUGGUAAGGUAACGGCUUACCAAGGCAACGAUGCAUAGCCGACCUGAGAGGGUGAUCGGCCACACUGGAACUGAGACACGGUCCAGACCCCUACGGGAGGCAGCAGUAGGGAAUCUUCCGCAAUGGGCGAAAGCCUGACGGAGCAACGCCGCGUGAGUGAUGAAGGUCUUCGGAUCGUAAAACUCUGUUAUUAGGGAAGAACAUAUGUGUAAGUAACUGUGCACAUCUUGACGGUACCUAAUCAGAAAGCCACGGCUAACUACGUG